rnacentral:rRNA from 1 species
CCCUUAGAUGUCCUGGGCUGAACGCGCGCUACACUGAUGUGUCCAGUAAGCACCUAACCUCUUCCGAAAGGAACGGGUAACCUUUGCAAAGCACAUCGUGAUGGGGAUAGAUUAUUGCAAUUAUUAGUCUUGAACGAGGAAUUCCUAGUAAGCACAAGUCAUCAGCUUGUGUUGAUUACGUCCCUGCCCUUUGUACACACCGCCCGUCGCUCCUACCGAUUGAAUGUUCCGGUGAGCUCUUCGGACUGCGCGGUCUGCAGUUUCUGCGUUCCGUGCGGAAAGUUGCGCAAACCUUAACAUUUAGAGGAAGGAGAAGUCGUAACA